UACGUAGGGACCGAGCGUUGUCCGGAUUCAUUGGGCGUAAAGAGCUCGUAGGCGGCUAUUCAAGUCGAACGUGAAAUCUCGGAGCUCAACUCCGAAACUGCGUUCGAUACUGGGUAGCUAGAGUCUGGUAGGGGGAUCUGGAAUUCCUGGUGUAGCGGUGGAAUGCGCAGAGUAUCAGGAGGAACACCGGUGGCGAAGGCGGGAUCCUGGGCCAGUACUGACGCUGAGGAGCGAAAGCGUGGGGAGCAAACAGG
rnacentral:rRNA from 1 species